rnacentral:rRNA from 1 species
GAUGAACGCUGGCGGCGUGCCUAAUACAUGCAAGUCGAGCGAACAGACGAGGAGCUUGCUCCUCUGACGUUAGCGGCGGACGGGUGAGUAACACGUGGAUAACCUACCUAUAAUACUGGGAUAACUUCGGGAAACCGGAGCUAAUACCGGAUAAUAUAUUGAACCGCAUGGUUCAAUAGUGAAAGACGGUUUUGCUGUCACUUAUAGAUGGAUCCGCGCCGCAUUAGCUAGUUGGUAAGGUAACGGCUUACCAAGGCAACGAUGCGUAGCCGACCUGAGAGAGUGAUCGGCCACACUGGAACUGAGACACGGUCCAGACUCCUACGGGAGGCAGCAGUAGGGAAUGGUCCGCAAUGGGCGAAAGCCUGACGGAGCAGCGCCGCGUGUGUGAUGAAGGUCUUCGGAUCGUAAAACUCUGUUAUUAGGGAAGAACAAAUGUGUAAGGAACUAUGCACGGCUUGACGGUACCUAAUAAGAAAGCAACGGCUAACUACGUG